rnacentral:sRNA from 1 species
UUCUCACUUUAUCUUUGUGCUCCUUCACUAUCAUCAUCUUCUCUCUAAACC